UCCAACACAGAGGAAAGCGAUGAAAGAUGAGGAGAACAAUGAGGUAAUCAGUCCCUGUCUGGAUUCGAUAUGUUAAGAUUAAGAUAAGAUUUUGUUCGGAUUUUUAGCCCCGGAGGGUUAGCUACCCAGGAUAACCCAAGAAAAUCAUUGCUUCAUAGACGUCUGCCUGUCUUAUUUCCAUUGGGAUCCUUCAGUCUUGUCCCCCAGGAUGCGACCCACACCAGUCGACUAACACCAGGUAACUACUUGCUAGGUGAACGGGGACAUCAGGUGUAAGGAAACACGCCCAAUGUUUCCACCCGGCCGCGAAUCGACCCACGGACCCUCAGUGUGUGAGGUGAGAGUGUUACCUACCAGGCCACGGGAGAAACAAAUACACUCCACUACAUCACAAACUUACCAACCUCUGCAGUUUAAAAGAGCGCGGGGCCAGCAUGGAGCGCUGAGCGCGACUUGGAAAGUGGAAGCAAGGAGAGCAGUACCGUGGUGUUGCCAGUGUGUGUGAACCAGCAGUGGAGGGAGGGUGUGACACCUCAUACAACCUGGGACAGAAUUUUUCAGUGGCUGUCCAGUUCUCAGGUACUUGUAAUAAGUCAAACUUAACACAUCCCACUGCAGUUCACAUUGGAGUUAAUAAAUAUUUUGAUGAACCUUCAAGAUUUGUCAAGAAAUGCAUGAAGUGGCGACCUAUAUUAGAUGUUUUUUUCAGUACUACCUUUCUGGGAAAGUAGAACCUGACAGGCGCUUAAUGGACGUAGGAUCGAACCUCAACUAUCCCUUAUGUAAAUAGGUUCCCAUGUGUUCAGUGCUUCAUGAAAAUGCAGUAACAAUUCGUUAUAGCUCUUACAAGACUGAGUUGGACAUGAGUGAAGUGUUGCCUAGACACUGGAGUGAUUCAUAGCGAGAAAGUGAAAGUGAACGUGUACGGUGACCUUGAACAUUACGUUCACCACACACAAGAACACCUCCGUGAACCACACAAGAACAACUCCUUGAACCACACACAAGAACACCUCUCUGAGCCACAAACAAGAACACCUCUGUGAACCACACACAAAAACACCUCUGAACCACACACAAGAACACCUCUGUGAACCACACACAAGAACACCUCUGUGAGCCACACACAAGAACACCUCUGUGAACCACACACAAGAACACCUCAGUGAACCACACACAAGAACACCUCAGUGAACCCCACACAAGAACACCUCUGUGAGCCACACACAAGAACACCUCUGUGAGCCACACACAAGAACACCUCUGUGAACCACACACAAGAACACCUCAGUGAACCACACACAAGAACACCUCAGUGAACCACACACAAGAACACCUCUGUGAACCACACACAAGAACACCUCAGUGAACCACACACAAGAACACCUCAGUGAGCCACACACAAGAACACCUCUGUGAGCCACACACAAGAACACCUCCGUGAACCACACACAAGAACACCUCCGUGAACCACAUACAAGAACACCUCCGUGAACCACACAUAAGAACACCUCUAUGAACCACACAAGAACACCUCUGUGAACAACACACAAAACCACCUCCGUGAACCACAGAAAUAUAACCAUGGAAACAUAAUUACCAGUCCUCUCACCGAUACAAAACCAGAAAUCGCUACAAAAAAGAAAUAGAUAAUUGGCUUAAAAUUACGCCUUGAACAAAAUAAUACAUUGCUUUAAGUAGAAAACAUAAAUAUAGUACCAUAUCGGAAUAAAUGUAAGAUACCCAAGGACUUUAAUAGGGAAAAAUGAGUGAUU